rnacentral:misc_RNA from 1 species
UCCGGUUUGUCACCGGCAGUCUCACUAGAGUGCCCAACUUAAUGUGGCAACUAAUGACAAGGGUUGCGCUCGUUGCGGGACUUAACCCAACAUCUCACGACACGAGCUGACGACAGCCAUGCAGCACCUGUGUUGCGGUUCCCUUUCGGGCACCGAGGUAUCUCUACCCCCUUCCGCACAUGUCAAGGGUAGGUAAGGUUUUUCGCGUUGCAUCGAAUUAAUCCACAUAAUCCACCGCUUGUGCGGGUCCCCGUCAAUUCCUUUGAGUUUUAACCUUGCGGCCGUAAUCCCCAGGCGGGGCACUUAAUGCGUUAGCGACGGCACCCGGGGGGUUAAUACCCCGAACACCUAGUGCCCAUCGUUUACAGCGUGGACUAC